UACCUGGUGGUCCAGUGGCUAAGACACUGCACUCCCAAUGCUGGAGGGCUGGGUUUGAUCCCUGGUCAGGGAA
rnacentral:tRNA from 1 species